GACGGCAUGGCAAGCCAGACGUGAAAUCCCGGGGCUUAACCCCGGGACUGCAUUUGGAACUGUUAGGCUAGAGUGUCGGAGAGGUAAGCGGAAUUCCUAGUGUAGCGGUGAAAUGCGUAGAUAUUAGGAGGAACGCCAGUGGCGAAGGCGGCUUACUGGACGAUGACUGACGUUGAGGCUCGAAAGCGUGGGGAGCAAA
rnacentral:rRNA from 1 species